rnacentral:lncRNA from 1 species
AGGCUCAGAGCUCGAAAUUUAAAUUACCAAAACUUGCUUAACAUGCAUUAUAUUUUCUACAUCAUCACAUCAAACAUGUAGAAACAAUGUUCUUCUCUAUUACAAUACCAAUUAUCAUAUUCAUACUUCAACAUUCAUUUGAAUUUCUAAGUUUUAGAAAUUAAUUUCCAUUUGAACAUUUCAACAAAUACCUAAAGGACAUGAUUAUCAAGUCCAGAUUUCCAUUUGAACUUAUUCUCAGCGCAACUAAAAUACAUAUAUAGGUAUUACCUUUAGUUUACCUUCAAUGCUUGGUUUGUAUUCUUCAAUAUUCCUUCUUAAUCCUUCAACUCUAACUUAAUUCAUCGAAAGUAAUCUUGAGAGAACAGAAAACUUACUAAAAGUUUUAUAUGAAUAUGGAGUGAAUACUUUAAAAACAAGGAGCUACAUAAUUGAGUGUAGGUAUAUAUAUAAAGACCUUAUUCUUGAGCUGUACGUUUUGUAGCUUGGAUGACUAUCAAGCCUAGUACCCCUUUAACCUUACAGCUCCUGCUUGAUAUGUUGUGACUCAACUAUCUAAUCCAAUAAUCAGUCAGCUCAUGCUAGCCUUACAUACAAAUAUAAUUCUAAUACUAUUUUUAAAU